rnacentral:rRNA from 1 species
GAUGAACGCUGGCGGCGUGCCUAAUACAUGCAAGUCGAGCGAACAGAUGAGGAGCUUGCUCCUCUGACGUUAGCGGCGGACGGGUGAGUAACACGUGGAUAACCUACCUAUAAGACUGGGAUAACUUCGGGAAACCGGAGCUAAUACCGGAUAAUAUAUUGAACCGCAUGGUUCAAUAGUGAAAGACGGUUUUGCUGUCACUUAUAGAUGGAUCCGCGCCGCAUUAGCUAGUUGGUAAGGUAACGGCUUACCAAGGCAACGAUGCGUAGCCGACCUGAGAGGGUGAUCGGCCACACUGGAACUGAGACCCGGUCCAGACUCCUACGGGAGGCAGCAGUAGGGAAUCUUCCGCAAUGGGCGAAAGCCUGACGGAGCAACGCCGCGUGAGUGAUGAAGGUCUUCGGUUCGUAAAACUCUGUUAUUAGGGAAGAACAAAUGUGUAAGUAACGAUGCACGUCUUGACGGUACCUAAUCAGAAAGCCACGGCUAACUACGU